ensembl:lncRNA
CUUAUAUUCCUAUGUAUAUAUGCAGAGCUUCCCUGAUAGCUCAGUUGAAACAUGUCGUACAUUCUGGAGUGCUCCUAAGAGAUGUCCGAAUUGAUCUUACAGAGAUCACACCUGUGAAACCACCAUUCACGCUUGAAAAUAUUCAUGGGCAUCCUGGAGCCAGCUUUCUUCAAGCCAGCUGAUUGCUUAGUGAAGCAUUCCCUGCUUAGCUGCUUCAAUCUUUCUUCGCAUCAUUUUAGCUGAUCUCUUCCGAACUGCUGCCAAUCUGUCUGCAUCUUCUUGAUGCCAUGGUACUCUGGAUUGAACACCAGUGCAGUGACUCAGCUGUGCGCAUGCCCGUGUCCGCGCUGUUGAAUCCCGUCCGCUGGCCCCGCCCUCUGUCGUCACAGUAGGCUCCCACUGGCUCUGCCUCGCGCCUGGCAGUGUAUAGAUGUCAGGGCUGCCCUCAGCUCGUCCCAGCUCUCCUCGCUUGCUGUGUCCACGUGCCGGUUCUGUGUCUUCAGCUGAACUUAAGGAGGAUGAGAUUAGGACACAGACACAUACGGAGGCAGGACCCUGUGAAGACACAGGGGGAAGACAGGCUUCUAUAAGCCGAGGAGAAAAGACUCAGAAAAAACCAACCUUGCUGAUAUCUUGAUCUCAGACUUCCAGCCUCCAGAAUCGAAAGAAUACCAGAGUGAGCUGUCAUGCCCUCCUCUAAGGGAUCUUCCGGACCCAGGAGUCGAACUCACAGUUCUGACAACUCCUGCAUUGGCAGCUCUGACUCAGACCCGGGGCAGCUGGACUAAAGAGCCAAUCGGUUAAUGCCUCACCUCUGAUAUACUGAGGCCUCUGGUGACUUAGCCUUAGCUACAGCAUCUUCUCUGCUGGACCCUGAACCUCUGCCUGCAGCUGAAUUGCUCUACUUCCUCCUCACGGCCACCACUGACCAGGGAGGAGCCAUGGAACCAGGAUGGGGAUCCAUCCUUGGUCAGGAAGUUCAAGUCCACAUGCCACAGCUAAAGAUUCCUUACGCUGCAAUGAAUAUUGAAGAUCCCCCAAGUAGCAACUAAGACUUGGUACAGCCAAAUAAAUAAAUAAAACUAAAUAUUUUGUAAAAAGAAUCUAUCAAAGAGUUU